CCUCCCUUGCCCCUGAUAGCUUCAUUUUCAACCAUCCCGUUCUGAUAACAAUUUCCAGGUGGUAAAAAUAUACCACCUUCUCAGGACAGGACUCCCUAUUGAGGAUGUCGCAUCCACUUGUGACCACUUGGGGGCACUGGAGAUCACCAUUAGCAAAGAUAUUUUACCAGUUCGGCCUCCAAGUUCUUGGCCUCUGCGGAAAUGCUUAUUCAGUAUGAAUUGAGGGGUGUGAUCAGGGAGCAGGGUUUUCAGUAUCGAUAACUACCACCAGCCAUCAUUUUUCCUAAAAAUUAUUGAAUACAGGUCAUUGGACAAAUCUAGUUUUCCUAGAGCCCAGCAUUAUGGUUUAGGGCUGGGGCAGGGAGACUCUUCCUAACCAAGGGUGAGUAUGUACCAUCUGGCACAACAUCUGAGGUACAACGCUAUAAAUCUAAUUUUAAAUGGUGAAAUUGGGCUUUAGGUUGUGUCAAAGAAUUUAACCAUGUAGUCCACUGAUCAUUCAAGAGGCAUCAUUAUGUCUGAAAGUGUUCAUGGUGUAAAAUACAUAGGUUUAAUAGGCAUGUAUUUAAAGAUCUGUCUCAGAAUUUGGAAGAUUACUUUCAAAUAUUUGUGGGUUUUUAAAAAUUGUUUGCUUGUUAGGGCCACACCUGCGGCAUAUGGAGGUUCCCAGGCUAGGGGUCAAAUUAGAGCUGCAGCUGCUGGCCUACACCACAGCCACAGCAACGCGGGAUCCGAGCCGUAUCUUCGACCUCCACCACAGCUUGCAGCAUCGCCAGAUCCUUUAACCCACUGAGCGAGGCCAGGCAUUGAACCCGCAUCCUCAUGGACGCUAGUCAGUUUCGCUUCCGCUGUGCCACAACAGGAACUCCUGUUUUCAAAUAUUUGAAUGAUCAAUAUCUCCCCAAAUACUUUUCCCUCCUCUGCCAGCCUUCCUGGAAGAAGCAAAGGCCUGAUGAAGCCCCUCGUCCUGGACCACAUGUUCCUGUGGGCCCUGUGAGUGAUUCCAGGCCACUGUCACUCCGUGUGAGUGAUGCGACUUGAGGCUUGUCACAUGCGACUUGAAGAUGUGACUUGAGGCUUGUCAGCGCCCCCUGCCAGCCCCCAAGAUCCCCUUCCUCUUUCCCAGGCAGCUCCUGAAAGCUCCCCGUUGGAUGUUUUGGAGGAGUUUUGUGUGGCUCUGCUCUGUGCCUUAGACAUCUCCACAUGGGUCACCUGGUAGAUGUCACCUCUCCGUGUGAGCUGGAUCUACCCCCUGCAGAACCCUCUGGAAUUCAGCCUUGGUCUGGCCUUAGCCCUGCCUCUCACCCCCUGCCGGCUUUUGCCACACAGAGGAUAGGUUUUUGCAUCAUGCUUCAUGACCCACUAGCCUUGCAUCCUGUUUCCUGUUUAGAACAGCUCUUUUUUUUCUUUUUUCUUUUUAAGGCCGCACUCUCGACAUAUGGAGGUUCCCAGGCUAGGGGUCCAAUCAGAGCUACAGCUGCCGGCCCACACCACAGCCACAGCAAUGCCAGAUCCGAGCCGAGUCUGUGACCUAUACCACAGCUCAUGGCAAUCAAUGCCAGAUCCUCUACCCACUGAGCAAGGCCAGGGAUUGGAUUUUCAUCGAUCCUAGUCAGGUUCAUUAACCACUGAGCCACAAAAGGAACUACAGCUCAGUUUUUCUUAAAGUGGGAAGAUAACGUGAGUGAAACUAGUGUUGUCGUCAAAAUCAGGCCUCCCCACUGGUGGCAGGCUCUCCUGUACCUUUCCUUCGUUUUUUUGGAUUUUUCUUUUCUUUUUUUUUUUUUUUUUGGCUUUUUAGGGCUGCACCCACAGCAUACAGAGGUUCCCAGGCUAGAGGUCCAAUUGGAGCUGUGGCUGCUGGCGUACACCACAGCCAUAGCAAUGCUAGAUCCUUAAUCCACUGAGCGAGGCCAGGGCUCAAAUCUGCAACCUCAUGGUUCCUAGUCGGAUUCGUUUCCACUGCGCCACAACGGAAGACUUCUGUUUCCUUGGGUUGAGGGUGGGGGAACGCCACAGCAGCAGCAACUACAGAUCCUUAACCCUCUGAGCCACGAGGGAAGAAUUCACACUGGCACAGAUCCAAUCCCCAGGACACAGGGACAUGGCGUCCGAUGCCUCCAUCCUUCGGGUUGGGGGUGGUGGCUGGCACAGUGUGGCCCAAGGGUGAUCAGAGCCAGUCUCAGGGUUCCCAAUCCAUAAAAGGUUGUGCUGGGGAAGGCUCCCCUUUCACCGCCUUGUUCAAAGUUCAAGGCCGGGUUUCCUCACUUAGCAAUGCCUCCUGAGUGAGGACCAUGCUCUGAGCCACUCACCAUCUCAUAGACCAUGAGCAUCUCAGAAUGUGCUGCUGUGCUUUUUACUCACGGCUCCUUCCUCGGGGCACCUCCCUGUGCCUACCCCACCUCCAGCCAUUCCCCGCGGUUCUGCCCAGAAGCCUUGUCUCUCAGAUGCCCCGUGGCUCAUUCCCUUAGCAUCUUCUGUCUUUGCUCACAUGUGGGCGUCUCGGCGAGGUCUUCCCUGACUGCCUUUUAUUUUUUUAUUUUAUUUUAUUUUAUUUUUUUGUCUUUUUGCCUUUUCUUGAGCUGCUCCCAUGGCAUAUGGAGGUUCCCAGGCUAGGGGUCUCAUCGGAGCUGUGGCCACCGGCCUACGCCAGAGCCACAGCAACACGGGAUCCAAGCUGCAUCUGCAACCUACACCACAGUUCACGGCAACGCCAGAUCCUUAACCCACUGAGCAAGGCCAGGAUACGAACCUGCAACCUCAUGGUUCCUAGUUGGAUUGGUUAACCACUGCGCCAUGACGGGAAUUCCCUUGCCUGCCUUUUAAAACGUUGCAACCAGCUUCCCAUUCUCUCCCUCCUACUUUAUUUUCUCUACCUCACUUAGUGCCAACAACCAUAGGUAUUUGCCACACGUCGUACAUACGCAUCAGUGGUAUAUGUGCUCGCAGGAGGGCAGGGGUGUCUGCCUGUUCUGUUACGGAUCUCUUCCCACCACCUAGGAGAGUGCCAGGCAUGCGGCAGUUACUAAGUAAAUAGUUACUAACUGGGUUAAUGGCUUUUCCUGUUUCUGCCUUCCUAACCAGAGGCUGAAUGAUGAUGGUACCUGCCUCGUAGCCUUGUGAGGGUUAAAUGGGAAUGAUGCUAACAGAGCAUCCAGCGCAGUGCCUGGCACAGAGCAAGUGCCCAGGGGAUGGGGAGGAGGGGCUGACCCUGACCUUCAUGGGGACUUGACAGAGGAGGGGCCAUCAGAGAAACUGCUUGUGCUUCCUGGAAAUCCCAGGAGUCCAAUCUUCCUGGAAUGGAGGGCAGGAAGGCUGGGCGGGAAGCCGUGGCUGAAGGGAGAGACUGGCAGGGGCUUCAUCUAGAAGGACCUUUUCUGACCUUUCCCAUUUGUCCUGAAGUCAAUGAAUGCGGAAGAGACUUUCACUUAGGAGAGAGAUGAAAUCCAGUUGGUGAGUACUGUGGUUACCAUGGCAAAGAUGGGCCCCAGCCGAGCCCCGGGUUAGGAACCUGUUGCAGGAAUCUGGGUAGAACCCUGUGGAAGGGCUGACCUAAAGCAGCGCUGGAUGGCCGGAGAGGAGGGAGCAGCUGAAGAGCUGCCAAUGUGAUGUGAUGAGGGCAGGCUGCUAGCUUUGAAUCCUGGUACCAUGACUUUCUAGCUGGACAAACUUGGGCAGCUUACUUAACUUCUCUGUGCCUCAAAUUCUUCACUGGUUAAGAGUGGUUUUUUUUUUUCCUUUUUUUUUUUAGGGCCGCACCUGCAGCAUAUGGAGGUUCCCAGACUAGGGGUCGUAUUGGAGCUGCAGCUGCCGGCCUAUGCCACAGCCACAGCAAGGCCAGAUCCAAGCCACGUCUGCAACCUAUACCAUAGCUCACGGCAACAUCGGGCCCUUGACCCACUGGGCAAGGCCAGGGGUUGAACCCACAUCCUCAUGGAUACUAGUCAGGUUUGUUAACCUCUGAGCCACAGUGGGAACUCCUGCAGUCAGAUUCUUAACCCACUGUGCCACAGUGGAAACUCCUGUAGUCAUUCUUUAUCUCAUUACCCUAUUGUAUUUUCAUAGUACUUCUUGGUCUCUGCAAUCUUUUUUUUUUUUUUUUUUUUUGGUCUUUUUAAGGCCCCACCCAUGGCAUAUGGAGGUUUCCAGGCUAGGGGUCCCAUCAGAGCUGUCGCUGCUGGCCACAGCCACAGCCACAGCCACAGCCAUGCAGGAUCUGAGCCGCAUCUGUGACCUGCACCACAGCUCACGGCAACGCUGGAUCCUUAACCCACUGAGCAAGUCCACGGAUCAAACCCCCGUCCUCAUGAAUCCCGGUCAGGUUUGUUAACCACUGAGCCAUGACGAGAAUUCCUGCAAUUCUUAUUUAUUUCUUCACAAGCACUAGUUCAUCUUAAGUCUUCCCCACUAGAAUGCAGGAACCAUGAGAGCAGCAUCUCUGUCUUUGCUCUGUUAACUUAUGUCAUUUUGGGAGACUUUCAGCUAUCAGUAGCGAAGUGUCCACUCAAAGUAGGCUCCAUUAUCUCAGUUUUAUACAUAUGCAGACUGAAUCGAGGAGAGAGUAAUUAGUUACCUAAAAGUCACACCAGUCAUAAGUGCUACAUCUUGGUCAUGAACCACGGCUGGCUACAUAUACAGCUGUGUUUAGUAAUGCACUUACUAGAAGGGGAAUCUUUCACAUCCUCUAAAGUUCUUUUUUGUGUGUAAUCUCUGAGUAAUCUUUACUACAGCACAUUUAGGAAAUGAAAUUACUAUGUGUUUUCUUUUCCUUUUUUUUUUUGUCUUUGUCUUUUUAAGGCCACGCCCACAGCACAUGGAGGCUAGAGGUUGAAUCACAGCUGUAGCUGCCAGCCUGCGCCAGAGCCACAGCAACACAGGAUCCAAGCCGCGUCUGCGACCUACACCACAGUUCAUGGCAAUGCCAGAUCCUUAACCCACUGAUCGAGGCCAGGGAUUGAACCUGUGUCUGCAUGGAUGCUAGUUGGGUUCAUGAACCACUGAGC
rnacentral:lncRNA from 1 species